AGUGAACGCUGGCGGUAGGCCUAACACAUGCAAGUCGAACGGCAGCACAGUAAGAGCUUGCUCUUACGGGUGGCGAGUGGCGGACGGGUGAGGAAUACAUCGGACUCUACUUUUUCGGGGGGGAUAACGUAGGGAAACUUACGCUAAUACCGCAUAUGACCUUCGGGUGAAAGCAGUGGAACUUCUGACCUUGCGCGAUUGAAUGAGCCGAUGUCGGGUUAGCUAGUUGGCGGGGUAAAGGCCCACCAAGUCGACGAUCCGUAGCUGGUCUGAGAGGAUGAUCGGCCACACUGGAACUGAACCACGGUCCAGACUCCUACGGGAGGCAGCAGUGGGGAAUAUUGGACAAUGGGCGCAAGCCUGAUCCAACCAUACCGCGUGUGUGAAGAAGGCCUUCGGGUUGUAAAGCCCUUUUGUUGGGAAAGAAAAGCAGCAGGUUAAUACCACGCUGUUCUGACGGUACCCAAAAAAUAAGCACCGGCUAACUUCGUG
rnacentral:rRNA from 1 species